GAUGAAGAACGUAGCGAAAUGCGAUAAGUAAUGUGAAUUGUAGAAUUCAGUGAAUCAUCGAAUCUUUGAACGCACAUUGCGCCCGCCAGUAUUCUGGCGGGCAUGCCUGUUCGAGCGUCAUUUCAACCAUCAAGCCCCAGGCUUGUGUUGGGGACCUGCGGCUGCCGCAGGCCCUGAAAACCAGUGGCGGGCUCGCUGUCACACCGGGCGUAGUAGAUUUUAUCUCGCUCAGGGCGUGCUGCGGGUCCCGGCCGUUAAAAGCCUUUUUUUACCCAAGGUUGACCUCGGAUCAGGUAGGAAGACCCGCUGAACUUAAGCAUAUCAAUAAGCGGAGGA
rnacentral:misc_RNA from 1 species